ACGUAGGGCAAUCUGUCUUUACAUAGGGGUAAAUUACUCUUAAAGAAAAAAAAAAGGAAUCCUAGAUAGUUUUCCCUUCAAGUGUCUUGU
rnacentral:pre_miRNA from 1 species